rnacentral:rRNA from 1 species
GAUGAACGCUGGCGGCGUGCUUAACACAUGCAAGUCGAGCGAAGCACUUUUGCGGAUUUCUUUGGAUUGAAGCGACUGUGACUGAGCGGCGGACGGGUGAGUAACGCGUGGGUAACCUGCCUCAUACAGGGGGAUAACAGUUGGAAACGGCUGCUAAUACCGCAUAAGCGCACAGUACCGCAUGGUACCGUGUGAAAAACUCCGGUGGUAUGAGAUGGACCCGCGUCUGAUUAGCUAGUUGGUGGGGUAACGGCCUACCAAGGCGACGAUCAGUAGCCGACCUGAGAGGGUGACCGGCCACAUUGGGACUGAGACACGGCCCAAACUCCUACGGGAGGCAGCAGUGGGGAAUAUUGCACAAUGGGGGAAACCCUGAUGCAGCGACGCCGCGUGAGCGAUGAAGUAUUUCGGUAUGUAAAGCUCUAUCAGCAGGGAAGAAAAUGACGGUAC